rnacentral:rRNA from 1 species
CCUACGGGGGGCAGCAGUGAGGAAUAUUGGUCAAUGGACGCAAGUCUGAACCAGCCAUGCCGCGUGCAGGAAGACGGCUCUAUGAGUUGUAAACUUCUUUUGUACGAGGGUAAACGCAGAUACGCGUAUCUGUCUGAAAGUAUCGUACGAAUAAGGAUCGGCUAACUCCGUGCCAGCAGCCGCGGUAAUACGGAGGAUUCAAGCGUUAUCCGGAUUUAUUGGGUUUAAAGGGUGCGUAGGCGGUCGGAUAAGUUAGAGGUGAAAUCCCGAGGCUCAACUUCGGAAUUGCCUUUGAUACUGGUCGUCUAGAGAGUAGUUGCGGUAGGCGGAAUUGAUGGUGUAGCGGUGAAAUGCUUAGAGAUCAUACAGAACACCGAUUGCGAAGGCAGCUUACCAAGCUACUUCUGACGUUGAGGCACGAAAGCGUGGGGAGCAAACAGGAUUAGAUACCCCUGUAGUC